CCUCAAUGGUUACUGUGGAAGUAGAAUGCCAUUCAUUAUUUAGUGGUAAUUUUCUGUUAUAAACAUGUUUAAAUACACCUCCAUUUAGGAAAUAUAACAUGAAUGCACCUAAAUAUGUUUACAUUAUGCUAAUCCAGGGGUGCCCAAAAGGUAAAUCCCCAGAUGUUUUAAUACAUCAGCUUCCAUGAUGCUUUGUCAUUCUGAAUGCAUGCUUAAGAGUUGUAGUUCUACAACAUCUGGGGAUCUACCUUUUAGGCACCUCUGCACUAGUCAAAAUGAUAUUUUGCAUUAAUGUUUAAUGUCAUAGGUUCGCCAGACAAUGCACCUAACAAAUAAUGGAAAAUCUACCAUCAACUAUAGGAAUGAUUUAUUAAUAUCAGAAUAACGAUAAUCCCCAAAUUUGUCAGAAAAUGGCAAUUCAGAUAAUUACUAAAGGCAAUUCAGGGGCACAAUCAGAUAUUCACAUUGAAUGGGCAAAUUCACCUUAACACAACUGUAUAUGCAGUGGCGGAACUACCGCGGUCGCAGCUGCGAUCGGGUUCAUUACUCCCGGCGGCCCGGCCACCCUGAGAACCCCUGCGACUGCGGUGCCCGCCAGCUAAGUAACGCGGCCCGGCCCAUGCGGUAUAACUGCCAGGGCUGCAUUGAAGUGACCCAUGCUGUUAGGGCCACCUGAUGGCAAUGAAUUUCCAGGGGGCCGGUCUGCGCUGUGGCGCUUUAACAGCGUGACCAGGCCCCCGAGAUGACUUCAGAGCUGGGAGGAAGUGACUGCCCCGGUCACUCCUCCCAGCUUAUACCGGAAGCUGCGCGGGAGGAAGGAGAGGAGUGAGUCAGAGUGGGAACUCUGACUCCCAUCAGCCUGAGCCACCACUGGACCCCAGGGAAGUCACCCUCCUGCAUCUAAAAGCAUAUGUGUGUGUUUGUAUGUAUGUGUUUGUGUGUCUGUAUGAAUGUUUCUCUGUAUGUGUGUCUCUGUGUGUGUGUGUUUGUAUGUAUGUAUAUAUGUAUGUGUGUUUGUAUGUAUAUGUGUAUGUACAGGGCCGUCUUUAAUAUUGACCGGACACUGGGCAACCAUUUGCUUGGGGCCCCUGGACUCUGCCCCCUGCCAGACAUACUAACACACAUACACAGAGACAUACACUGACAGACAUACUGAAACACACGCUGACACACACACUGACAGACACAUAUUGACAGACAUACUGACACACACACAGAAACAUACACUACAGACAUACUGACAUAUGCAGACACAUAUACUGACACACAUACACAAAGACAUACAAUGACAGGCAUACUGACAUACACAGACAGACAUACUGACACAAGCACAGACACAUACACUAACAGACAUACUGACAUAAACAUACACUGACAGACAUACUGACAAACAUACACUGAAAGACAUACUGACACAAACACAGACAGACAUACUGACAUAAACAUACACUGACAUACAUACUGACACAAACACAUACACUGACAGACAUACUGACAUAAACAUACACUGACAGACAUACUGACAAACAUACACAGACAGACAUACUGACAUAAACAUACACUGACAUACAUACUGACACAAACACAUACACUGACAGACAUACUGACAAACAUACACUGAAAGACAUACUGACACAAACACAGACAGACAUACUGACAUAAACAUACACUGACAUACAUACUGACACAAACACAUACACUGACAGACAUACUGACAUAAACACAGACAGACAUACUGACACAAACACAGACAGACAUACUGACAUAAAUUUACACUUUUAAACCCACCCACAAGUUUCCUACCUUGGAAGGUGGUUCCCCAGGUGUCCAGACUGAAGGUUGUUGGGAUCUGCCUCUCCUGGCAAAGGCUCCCUCCUUCGUCUCCCGCGCGGCUCCUCUCCUUAGUGGGAGGAAGUGACUCGCAGCCGUCACUUCCUCCCAGCGCUGCCGAAAAGCAAAGGGCCCGGUCGCGCUGUUUAAGAGCUACAGUGUGUGACCGGGCCCCUGCUUACAAUACCCACCCGGUGGCCUGCUUAAUGUGGGGGCCGGCGGCCCCAUGGGAGAAACAAUUGUUGAGGGCAGCGGGGCCCACGGGGAAGCUGCCUUGGGCCCCCCAAGAGUAACAGGGCCUGGGGCAGCUGCCCCGUUUGCCCCGCGUUAAAGACGGCCCUGUGUAUGUAUGUGUGUUUGUAUGUAUAAGUCUCUGUAUAUGUGUAUGUGUCUAUAUGUGUCUCUGCAUAUGUGGGUGGGGACGUAUGGGAAGGGAAGGAUAGACGUAUGGGGGAGUGGCGGGGGGUUGAUGUUUGGGGGUGGGAGGGCCCAGGGAAAUUUCUGCACCGGGGCCCCGUGGUUUCUAGUUCAAUCAAAACUGAUUGAAGGGCUUAGAACACUUACCAAUUCAUGUAAGACUUGCCAUUAGUGCGCUGUGAUUGGCUUGUUUUUCAAACCAAAAACUCACUUUCCACAUGAUUGAAAUUCAAGACUUUAGCAUUCUACAGCAAAACACUUUUAAGGAAUAGGCUGCAGUUCUGUUUUUUUUUUAAGUGCCUUUGUGGUUUUCUCUCUUCUUUGUGAUUCGCGUACUUAUGUAUAGUAUGAAAAAAAGUUUGGUGUGAAAUCUUUAUUUUCAAGAUGACGUCAAUACACCCUCGCCACCUAGCCAAAAGAGGAGAUUUAGGAAUUCAGGAUGCCAUAUAGGAGGGCAAAGGGAUUCCACAAGCUGUCACCUUUAUUGCAGCACAUAGAGACAGCUCACACUACCCUAGACACUAGGAACAUAACUGAUUAGCAGGGGAGGAGACAAAGAAUUAAAUUAAUUUAAAGCAUUUGUGAGUGUGUCUGUAUGUAUUUUACAUAUGUAUUUUAUGUACGUGGCCAAAUGCGUAACUAGAAACCACCAGGCCCCAGUGUGAAAAUUGCCCUUUGGCCCCCCAUGUGUCUCAUCCCCACCAGCCCCUCCACAUGUCUUAUCCCCCCGCCAACCCCUCCACGUGUCUCAUUCACCCCCGCCAGCCCCUCCACAUGUCUCAUUGCCUCCCCCAGUUUCUCCAUGUGUCUCAUCCCCACAAGUUCUUCCACUUGUCUCAUUCCCGAAGCCCCUCCAUGUGUCUCAUUCGCUCCCUAGCCUCUCCACCUGUCUCAUUCCCCCCUAGCUCCUCCAUGUGUCUCUCCCAUGCCCCAAGUAUCUCUCCAAGCCCCCCAAUCCCUUUAUGUGUCUCUCCCAACUGCUCUAUGUGUCUCACCCACUCCCCAGCCCCUCCAUGUGUCUUUUCCAUCCACGUGUGUGACAGACACACACACACACACACAAAAACUGACAAACACACACACUGGCACACUUACAAAUUAUUGCACACUUAAAUUAAUUUUCUUUUGGAAGAACUGGUGUGGGUCCUCUCCCUGGAGUCCAGUGUGGUGCAGUGCUGUAAUCUGGCAGUUCCUCUCUCUUCCCGAAACUCAUAUUCAGGCCGGGCCCCCUUUGGUGAAGGGCCUGGUCGCGGCUGCAACCCAUGUGACUGUGGGAGUUCCUCCACUGUGCAUGGUAUAGUUUCCUCCUAAUUAUUAGGGUGUCAUUUUUUCAAAUAAGUUGUUUGAACUCACCUUAAGAAUACUUUGGAUUUAUUAUGGGAUUAUUUUGCUCAAGUAAAAUUUUGAUCAAAUUAUUUCGGAUAGAUAGAUAAUUUAUUUUAUUUUACUCAAAGCUUUUAAUAAACAACAUUCCUUGUUAUAUGGGCUAAUAUGAAAGUCUACAUUACAAGUCAGAAGGAAAGGACACACACAUGCUUAAAAUAGAGUUGUUUUGUUUAACAGAAACAUGCCGAAUGACUGACAGAUUCAAUCUGUAUUGUACACGAGUCUAGCACAGCAAAUAAUGUAAUUAUAUAAUAACAAGAGGAAAAGAGAAUACAAAAUAGAUUUUAAUGUAUGACUUCUAAUUCAGGAAAAUAGCUUUAUAAAUAAAAAAAAAAGUCAGCAUACAACAAAAGAAAGUAUGUGCAGAGGAAAAUUGUUAAAUAAUUUCAUUUUAUAACACAUAAUAAAAGCAAUAUUAAUAUGAAUAAUCUAAUUUGCAGAUGUUCUACCUUGUGUACUGCUGAAGAACAGUUUUGCAAAAAUAUGUAGCAACAAAAAUAAAAUCCAUCUGGUGUUUUUAUUUUUUUUAUUUUAUAUAAAGGUGCAGUACUGAAAUGCUGCAGGUUUAAUAAUCCCAGUCAGAAAACUGAAAUUGUCUGAUAUUAUUAUUAGUAUUAUGUAGAAAAGCAAACCCCAAACUCACCGUUAGUUUAAACUCAUAAUUAAACAGCCAUCAAGUUCAUUAUCAUUGUAUUCACGUUCUGUACACAAUGUAGUACAUAAUUAUUCUUCCUAUUCUUCACAAAUAAGCUGAAAAUAUCCCCAAAUUGACAAAUCGUUUGUUAAAACAGUGACCACAAUAAUUUACUCCAUUACAUUCAAUUACUUAAAGGAGACGGUGAAUGUUUUCCUAAAUGAAUUAUGACAUAGGGAUAAUGUGUUCUAGAGAAGGACACUAACACUAAAGGUUGGCAGUGUUGGGUUUGCUAGAUUAAUUUAGAGACGGCUAUGGAUAACAUAAACUCCAGUCAGUGGUGUAUUUUGGAUUUGUGCUGCCCUAGGCAUGAUGAAACUUGGACCUCAUCUAAUUUAAAUUUGCCCCACCUCUUCCUGUCAAGGCCUCUCUUCAUCCUGACCAGACCAACAUGCACUUUAAUUGACAGACACAUGACUUCACUAAUGCAUGCAGUAAAAUACACUCACUGACAGACAACCACACAUUCACUGACAGACAUAAACACUCACUCACUGACACACACUGACAGAUACACACACUGACAGACAUACACACACACACACACACACACAAAUUUACUGACAGACACUGUGACGAACUGAACCUCAUCACAGGUUCUUGGAGGGCCUGCUAGCCAGCCUCUUGCCCACUGACUAUGGGCCAGGUCAGCGACUAUAAAGACCCAUCUAUUAUUCCCCCUCGUUCCCCUGGUUCGGCACUUUCCAUUCAUGCGCAAAUAACCGAAGGCUAGCUCCUUGGCAGACGUUCGCAUGGACCAAAACCGCAAAUAGACUUACAGGGGGACUUAUCCGCGAAUGCCCUGGAACUAUUUUCGGCAUGAAGACUUUGUGGUUCCCCGUAGGUCCCCAGCGGCACUUAGCCUCAAUCCUAUGGAACUAUUUUGGGCAUAGGACCAUGUGUGCUGGUCUGCUCACCUCCCCUCUCCCUGUGUUCUCCACAUCUCCCCUUCUCCUCUCCCUGUGUUCUUCUUACCCCCCUCUUCCCUGUGUCCUCCUCACCUCCCCCUCCCUGUGUUCUCCUCACCACCCACCCUCCCUGUGUUCUCAGUCCCCUCCGUUCUCCUCAUCUUCCCUUCUCCUCACCCUUACUCUCCCCCCUCCUCCCUGUGUUCUUCUUACUCCCCCCGUGUUCUUCUUACACCCCUCCUCCCUGAGUUCUUCUUACUCCACCCCGUUCUUCUUACUCACCCCUUGUUCUUCUUACUAGCCCCCUUGUUCUUCUUACCCCCACUGUUCUUCUUACCCCAAGUGUUCUUCUUACCCCCUUGUUCUUCUUACUCCCUCCCCUCUUCUUCUUCUUACUCCCCCGUUCUUCUCUUACUCCCCUGUUCUUCUUACUCCCCACCUGUUCUUCUUUCCCUCCCUUCUUCUUACUCCCCAUUCUUCUUACUCCCCUUGUUCUUCUUACUCCUCCUUGUUCUUCUUACCCCCCUUGUUCUUCUCCCCCCUGUUCUUCUUACUCCCCACCUGUUCUUCUUACUCCCCUUCUUCUUCUUACUCCCCCACCUGUUCUUCUUACCCCCCGGUUCUUCUUCUUACUCCCCACCUGUUCUUCUUACCCCGUUCUUCUUACUCCUCUCUUCUUCUUGUUACUCCCCACCUGUUCUUCCUCCCCUGUUCUUCUUACUCCCCACCUGUUUUCUUACCCCCUUCUUCUUACUCCCCUUUGUUCUUCUUACUCCCCUUGUUCUUACUCCCCCUUCUUCUUACUCCCCAUUUCUUCUUACUCCCCCCACCUGUUCUUCUUACCCACCACUGUUCUUCUUACUCCCCCCUCUUCUUACUCCCCCCUUCUUCUUACUUCCUCAGGCGGCUGCAGCAUUAGGAUCGGCCCUGCAGCGGCCGGUUUUAAAAUGAUUUAGGGCAGCCUGGGGGGCAAUUGCCUCCCUGCCCCCUGGCCCAGCCCGCCCCUGCCUGACAGCAUAACCACUACUGCUACAGAGAGAAAAAAACUCACAAGGAGUAAGUGUGUGAGAAAGCGCUUAAAAAGUGUGUAGAAAAUAAUAGCAGCUCUUAACACCCGUGAGGGAAUACCUUUCCCCUUCACCUGAACACAAAAUCAAACCAACAAAUAUCAAGAUAAAAUCUUAACAAUAUAUGGGUGGAGCGCUUAAUUAUAUUUACAUGCAAUAAUUGCUUACCCCUUAAAUUAAGUGUAGAGAUUCUGAUGUACUUGAAUACAUAUAAAAUGGGGAAUAAGAACAGAGAAAUAAUACUAGUGCAGAUAGUACUGAUAUACAGAUGGAGUGCAAAAGUAAAUAGGAGAAAGAACUCACAAUUUUCGGAGCCUGGGAAUUAAGGCUCUAUAGAAGUAUAGUGGUGCUCAUAUAGGUGGCACUGGUACUCCACCUUCUUCUCACGGAAUACUUUCUCAGGAUAAAGCAGACAAAACAGAAGGAUCUUAUAGUGUAGUAUAUUUAAACACCAUUGAUGUCAAAAGUAUUUAAUAAAUUGACUCUCACCUUCUUAAGAGCCUAUUGAUGCCUUGGCUCUAAGGUGGGAACACUAAGUGUCAAUUUCUAGGAACCUGGAAUUUGGACUAGUAGGCAGAUAGAAUGCUAAAAAUUAGUAUUUAUUUAACAUAUAAAAAACAAUUUGAAAAGCAGUAAAAUCAAAUGACAAGCACUAAUCAGUCUCUUAAGUCCAGUCUCUAUGUCCCAAAACACGUUGUGCCGGUAAAGGCUUCCUCAGUUGGCUGAAUAAUAACUCCUAGGUUCCAGAAUAAUUUUUAAAUGAUCACCGCCAUGCAGAAGACUACUGCUACAGAGGUCAUGGUGUUUGGAGUUGUGCCCGAGCUUCUAUACUCAGACGGAGUAUCUCUGCCAAGUAUCCCCUCACCUCUGGAACAGAUCACCUAAACUGAUUAUAGCUCAGUUUCCAAGCAUCAGCUGAGGCUUGAUGAAGGGAAAAACAGACACACUUUAUUCAACAACUUGCAUAUAGUUAUACAGAUAUUCUCAACAGGGGAUCAUCAAACCAAACAAUACAAUCCCACCCCAGCGCAUUAGGGCUGGGACAUAAUUAAACAAAGGCAGGAUAAUUUAAGUAACUACUAGACAUCAGGGAAUCUUACAACAGUGUCCCCAAAACAGAGAGUUCUCCAAGAGCUAUACAUCCCAACGCCUGGUUUAGAGAUGCAAGCUGUCCAAAAAGCACUUGGACCAUCCGACACAAUGUUCCAGACUGUUUGGUACCAAGUCCCAGUCUCAAAUAAUGGCUUCUCGGAAAAAGGAGCUCCUUCAAGUCCUUGCUGGCCGCCUCAUUACCUCCCUGACCUCCUCUCCAAAUAGCUCUCAGGUUAAUGACCAAGUGAUACCCACUUGAAGUUUUAUUGAAGUUUCCCUUAUGUGCUGUAAAGUCAUGGCACAGCAUGGAGGGGUGAACAUGGUGAUAAAAGCACUCUUGUGGAGGAGCUGAUCUGGAGUCCAGUGCCAGUUGUUGAAAUGAUUGGGUCAAUGCAUCAUAGGAGUGUACCUUUAACAAAACCUUAUUGUGACCCAGACUUCAUACCAGUCUCUGUUUUGUUCACACAUAUGCAAUGCAGAUUACUAGAGUAUGCAGGUGCAUUAACACCUCCAUCUCAUUGUAGGUUAGGUUUUCUCAAAUUUUGCUCUUUUAUUCAACAUUUCAAUGCUACCUUUCCUCACCAUUUAUUGCUCCAAAUAAAUUCAAGAAACAUCUUUCAGGAAAUGUAGCAUUCAUUGCAAACAUCAUACUCUAUCUAUAAAGCCACGGGGACCACUGAAAGAAAGCAUUAAAUCUGGUAAGCAGAAAGAAAUUAUGAUUAGUUUAUGAAGAUUUGCUUCAAGUUUUAACAUGAUGCAAACCAAAUGUAUACAUGGGGAUGGAAUAUUAAGGAAUGCUUUUACCCCCUCGUAUAGAUGGGGAAUUGGUAUUGAGGCGUUAAUACUGAAGAGCAUGCUCAGCACAGAGAAUUUAAUAAAUAAAAAUCUCAAAUUUAAUAAAAAUGCAAAUUUUAAUUUGUGCAGUAAGAUCAAAUUUGCAUUUCUAUCUUGUAUCAUGUGUUUAACAUAUAAAUAGCAAAUUCUUCCAAUAUAUAGUAAUGUGAAAAAUACUCACAAUUAUUAUUUUUUUUUUCCAAGGGUCAUAUUCAGUAUUAAAUCACACUCGUCAUAUUAAACACCGACUCACGCCUAUUGUUUUUAUAGCAAUCUCUUUGUUCAUGAAACUAUUAGGUUCUCUUUAAAAUCUUGUUGUAUCAACAUGACAACUUCAAUGAGUCAUAUUUUGGGUUGCCUGCAAUGUUGAUAUGUGUCUCCAGAGUAACUUGUGCCGUUUUGUUUGUGAAUUAUUUACACACUGUGUUACUUUGCAGGAGUGACAUUCCCAAAAGUAGAGCUAACGUGAUUGUGUGAUGCUUAGAAAAAGCCAGAGGAUUAGUAGCAUAUGUAUAAAUCGCAGGGAUUUAAUCACUAACCAAAACAGAAAAAUGCAAUUCAAGAUCAGGUCAGUUUCGAACAUUUUCCAAUGUGGCUACUUCUUCAUCUGGGCAAUUUUAUUCUAAAUUAUGCGACCUGGCUGUCAAAGUGCCACAAUUCCGAUAACUUGCAAAGAUAAUGUCAACCCAUGGUAUACUGAAAUGAAUGAUUUUAAGGAAUCAACAGAAAGUCUUUGCAGGGUGUAUUUGGAAUUGAAUUCUUUCUGCAUUGUAAUCCCUGUAUCUAAAAUAAAGCAAUACAUACAUAGUGUUGUAGAACCACAAAGCAGUGUCCAGUGUUGUAGAAAAAUAUUGCAACAUACAGCACUGCGUUCUGCAUUACAUGAUCCAAGGAAUGGUUUAUAGACAUGUCUGUUAAACACAGCAAGUUAUUGGAGUAACCCUUAAAGAAACAGAGGGUCUCUGCUGGUGUUACAUGAUCUAAAUGGAUUAAGUAAGGGUUGUGGUGGCUAUGCUUUGAUGAGAAAAUAGGAGUGGGUUUUAGAUGUAUUGAACCAUCUGUGGUGUUCACAUAGCAUCUGGGGCGUCCCUGUGAAUUAGUGUAUUUUUGAAUAUAGAAACGUAGACCUUUGUGGCUUUUUCUGUCUCCGUGGGAGCUAUUUAUGGAAGUUCGAGGGACAGAGGGACAAAUCAAGCUGGGUUAAGGAGAGGCAGGCCCUGGUCUAGCAGAGCAAUCUGUAAACAGGCUUCUUGUGUCUUUUCUCUGGGCAUUCAUUCCCUGAACUGCGGAGGGGUCUGUACAAUGAAGAGAACUUUAUCCUGAAUUUGGUGUAAACACCCUCACAACAAAUCCUAUAAUUCUAGAAGCGUACUAGCUGGCAGUCUGUUGCAAAUUAUAAAAAAAAAUACAGGAUGCCAGUCGCCCACAUACAAAUGCUUUAUAUAAUAAAACUGCAAUAAAAAAUUUUUGACUAGCACUAUGUAUUAAUCAACCGAAUAUCUUUAUUAUUUUUUAAAGAAGAGUGUCACUUCAUUGACUGAAUUUAAAUAACAGGCAUAAUAGAAUUUCUAUAAAUAAAGCAGUUUACACAUACAAGGUCAUCGUCAAAUGUACACACUGUCCUAAUACAUUUUUUGUUGUAAAAACCAAAGAUUGGGAGUUUUGUUCGAAAGCAAAUACUAAUUUAGUUUUGCUACAUUGUUUGUUGUAUGUAAGAGAAUUUCCACUGUAUUUUACUCAAUAUAUUAAACAGCUAAUAUGAACAAUGAUAUUGCUUAAAGGGAUAUUCCAGGCAAGCAAUGAUUUCCAUUUUUAAAGGGAAACAGUCAUUUCUCUAGAAGCAGCAGUUCCUCAUUUCCAACCCAGUGAAUGUUAUUGAAGAGCUUACUUCGGUAACUAGCUCAGUGUAAGCAAGCAAAAACAUAGUUUGGCAGCACUUUUAUGUCCAAUGUAACACCGGCAUUGCUUCAUUAGUGCCAUACAAGUCAAUGUGCCUGCCCAUUCAGCACUAAACAGGUACAAUUAAAGAAACAGUAAAGUGUUAGGAAUACAAAUGUGUAUUCCUAACGCUGUAAUUGUCCUGUAUCUAGAUAGGAUGCCAUUCCUUUCAGCAUAAAAAAAAGUUACAAAUGUUUUGAAUGCUUAACCUUAAAAAGAAUAAAAAAAUGAUUUUAAAAAAUAAAAUAAAAAGUUAAGAAAAUAGUAUUUUACGUACAUUAUUCCAGUGCACGCAUAAAAUGUUCAUGUAGGAAAGUGUUGAAUCAAAGCUUUCCUAUGGGAUCUGUAGUCAGGUGAUUCGGUUUCACUCCGUUCAGGGCCGGUUUAACAUAGGGGUUGAUUGUCGCGUAUUCAUCCGCUUGUAGAAAUGUAGUUAAUGGCAUUUACUGUCCACACAGGAAAAGUUGUGCCGAGCAGCAACCAAAUCCACAGAAGGGUUAAUGCUGAGCAGCAAUUAUGCAAAUGGGAACCUGGUAACUUGGGGUCAAAGGCCAGUUACAGCCUAUCAGAUCUAGAGGAGGGGUAUUUAGGUCCAGUUCUCAUCCUGCUAAGUGCACUGUCAUGGUUUCCCUUGUGGUUGUCUGAGAGCGCGUUAUUGAUUUUGGUUAUUCUGGUUAUUUGACUUUGGCAUUGUUUUUGACUUCCCUGUUUUCUGGCAUCCCUGACUCCUGGCUUUUCCUUAUCGUUGUGUCUCUUUCUGAAUCCCUUGACCUCGGCUAUUCUUGACUAUUCUUUGGUACGUUAGUCCGGCCAUUCUAAGGUCCGGUAUAAGUUACCUAUCAGUCCUCUGUGUUACCCAAUUCUACGUGCUGGAUCUUUCUGUAAUCCUGACAUUACGACAGGGCCUUCUUUUCUUCUAUAUUGUCUUUCUGCUUCCGACAGUCUAGUGACCCCCAACUGCAUCAUGGGUUCAGGUUCGGACUGUACAGAAAUUUCAGGGACAAUAGGUCUGGAGAAACGGGGUGCUAAAUGCAUACUCAUGCGUCUGAUCUUGUUUCUAGUAGCUUCUCUGGUUCUUAAUCUAUUAUCAAUCUGCAUGACAAAAGUGAUAAAUUCAUUAAGCUUUUUGGGUAAGUCUUUGGCGGCAAUCUCGUCUAGCAUAGUUUCAGAUAAUCCCUUUUUAAAUGCAGAGAUUAACCCACUAUUAGUCCAGUCUACCUCGGAAGCUAGGGUACGAAAUUCUAUGGCAUAUUCCGAGAUAGACCGGUUCCCUUGUCUGAUGUGCAUCAGGGCAGUAGAGGCGUCAUCCUCUCUGCCUAAAGGUUCAAACGUAAGUUUGAAUUCCGUAAGGAACUCCUGGUAAUUGUGUGCCACACUCCUAUUACUCUCCCAUAAUGGAUUGGCCCAAGCUAAAGCUUUACCUUUUAAUUGAUUCGUUAGGUAACAUAUUUUAGCUCUGUCUGUGGGAAAAGAUCCCGGUGAGGCCUCAAAAUGAUACUCCAUUUGGUUAAUAAAUCCCCGGCAUUCUUGAAUAUUCAGGUGGGGGGUAAUGUCAUGUAUUCAUCCGCUUAUAAAAAUGUGGUUAAUGGCAUUUACUGUCCACACAUGAAAAGUUGGGCUGAGCAGCAACCAAAUCCACAGAAGGGUUAAUGCUGAGCAGCAAUUAUGCAAAUGGUAACCUGGUAACUGCCUUUGGGGUCAAAGGCCGGUUACAGCCUAUCAGAUCUAGAGGUGGGGAAUUUAGGCCCAGUUCUCAUCCUGCUCAGUGCCCUGUUGUGGUUUCCCUUGUGGUUGUCCGAGAGCGCAUUAUUGAUUUUGGUUAUUCUGGUUAUUUGACUUUGGCAUUGUUUUUGACUUCCCUGUUUUCUGGCAUCCCUGACUCCUGGCUUUUCCUUAUCGUUGUGUCUCUUUCUUUAUCCCUUGACCUCGGCUAUUUCUGACUAUUCUUUGGUACGUUAGUCCGGCCAUUCUAAGGUCCGGUAUACGUUACCUAUUAGUCCUGUUACACAAUUCUACGUGCUGGAUCAUUCUGUAAUCCUGACAUUUUGGUUAUCUUCUCGUAACAUCAGGCCCAAAGUCCCUAGCAUGAAAUUUGCUCCUAGGUUCCUUGGACCUUUUCGUGUCCUUCGUAGGAUCAAUCUUGUUGUGUACUCUCUGGCCCUUCCGGCCUCUUUGAAAAUUCCUAAUACCUUUCAUGUGUCCUUGCUCAAACGUUUGCAAUAAACAUACUGUCUCAAGUGUCCCUCCUCCUCCCUUAGUUGUUUCUGGACAGGAAGAGUAUGAGGUCUCCUCCAUAAUUGAUUCCAGGUUUUCUCGGGGCACUUUACAGUACUUGGUGGAUUGGAAAGGUUAUGGACCAGCCGAUCGUUCUUGGGUUCUGGCAUCUGAUAUACAUGCUGGCCGCAAGAUUUGCUAUUUUCACAAAUUUCCUCUCAAGCCUGGUCCUACCUGCCCGGUGGGCAUUCUUCGGGUGGGGGGUAAUGUCACGUAUUCAUCCGCUUAUAAAAAUUUCAUUUACUGUCCACACUGUGUUACCCAAUUCUACGUGCUGGAUCAUUCUGUAAUCCUGACACUGAUGGAGCUGCAGCUCCACUCCUAUGCCCAUGGAAUAGGCCAGUUGAUUUAAAAAUAUAUAUAUAUUUUACUACUCUUCACAUGCUCUUGCUUAAGUAUGGAAACUUAAGAGGGAUGUUGGAGAACAAAACUGGUGUGGACUGGCUGACAAUGAAAUUAGUUAAGGUAAAGCUGACUUUUGCGCACUAUGCAAAUGCUCUUGUUGCUUCAGUCUUUCUAACACUAUGGCAGGUUCCCUUUCUUCUACACUCACUACAUACACUUUUUCUCUGCCCCAGACUGUAUAAAAGGAGCUUCUGCCUCCUAGUAAGAAGAUUAGAAGAGGAGUGGACCGGCAAGUGCUAGGGGAUAGGCCUUAUAAAGCGUAGAGCAAGUGCAUAAUUAGACUAAUUUAUUCCAAGCCCGGGGUGCUGUCUGCACAGUAUGCCCUUGGUUGGUUAUCUUGCAUGAAUCUAAUUCUUCGUGCAGAAGAAUCUCCAGCAAAUAAUUGGUGUACACACAAAUCGGUCAUGGGUGGAUACCUAAUUAAAUUGGCCCACAUACCGAGGAAAAGAAAUGGUAAGAAUCUGUCGGAUUUAUAUAUUGAAUUCUAUAACCUUUCCAAACUAAAUAAACACGAUCCCUCUGUAGAUUUAAAUAUUCAAUUAAAAGCCAUACAAAAACAAAUAAAUAUAAAAGUUGAACAAAAAAUUUAAUAUUUAUAAAUUAAAACACUACUACACGGGCAAUAAAGCAAAUAAAAACUUGACUAAGAGACUCCAAAAUCAGCAUGCAAAAAAUAGAGUGGAACAAUUGUCAGACGGCCAAAAGGUUUACUCGACCCCAUCUCAAAUAGGCGAGAGAUUUAAUCAAUUCUAUGCUGAGUUAUACAAUCUUAAAACGUCCCCUAAUCCAAAAGAUGUUCGUAAUUAUUUAGCUAAUACACCGAUCUCGAAAAUCUCUUGUCAGGAUUUACUAACUCUAAAUAAAAAUAUUUGGCCCGAGGAAGUCCAAUUUCAAAUAGACAGAUUAGCCACAAACAAAACUCCUGGCCCUGAUGGCUUUUCGAACUUAUAUUAUAAAUACAUGAAAUCUCAUUUAAUAAAUCCAUUAACAGAAAUGUUUAACCAGAUAGCAUUAAAUCAAUCUAUCCCAAAUGAACUACUGCAAUCCAAUCUUAUCCCAAUACUCAAACAAAACAAAAUCAAUUCAGACCGUAGUAGUUAUAGACCCAUAGCCUUAAUUAAUGUGGAUAUGAAGAUAUACUCUGCUAUCAUCGCUGAAAGAAUUAAGACUAUAAUAGCCAAGCUAGUUCAUCCUGACCAAAUUGGGUUCAUUCCAGGUAGACUAGCUUCUAACAACACUCGAAGAAUAAUAGACAUCUUAGAUCUGGCUAACAGACAUGGGUUCCCCCUCCUGGCCCUGUCUUUGGAUGCGGAAAAAGCAUUCGACAGGGUCGGUUGGGGCUACCUUAGUGAGGUCCUAAUUGCUUUUGGCCUUACAGGUUGGAUUUUACAAUGCGAUAUUAGCUUUGUACUCCUCUCCCUCUGCCAGAACCGUAGGUCCGAACAUAACGGCGGGCUGGUGUGAACUUAAAAACGGUACACGCCAAGGGUGUCCCCUCUCCCCUUUAUUGUAUAUUUUAUCACUUGAGCCUUUGGCUAUAAACAUCAGGAAUAAUUCAUUGAUUAAAGGUGUCCAUACAAAAUCCGCCGAUAUUAAAAUAUCACUCUAUGCGGACGACGCGUUAAUUACUCUUACAUCUCCAGAGGUUUCUUUAUCCCCUCUAAUGUAUGAAAUUGAUAAAUAUUCUAAUAUUUAAAAUUUUAAGUUAAACAUCUCAAAAUCCACUGCUUUGUCUGUUAAUAUGAGUAACGACCAGGUAAACAUCUUAUCGCAGACAUAUAAAUUCAUAUGGACAAACAAGGAAAUAAGCUUUUUGGGUUUAGUAAUAUCUGCUAACAUCUCCUGUAUCAUGGAGAGGAAUGUUUGGACCCUUUUGAGAAAUAUGAAUGUCAAACUUAAAAAAUGGAAAAACCUUGAAACAUCUUGGCAGGGUAAAAUAAACAUAAUUAAUGCAUAUAUUUUGCCUAAGUGGACAGACUUGUUCUCCAUGCUUCCACUUAAAGUUCAUAAACCCUGGUUAGCUUUAAUUCAGUCAAGCUUUAAUAAUUUCAUCUGGAACCAUAAAAAACCCAGAGUUAGUCAUAAAAUUUUAGCAAAAAAAACUAUCUAACGGGGGCCUAAAUUUCCCCAGCAUUGUCAAUAGUUAUCAUGCAAAUAUUAUUAGACACGUAUAUACUCUACAGGGUCCUAAACAGGCCUCUGAACCUUGGUUUAUAAUUGAAUCGGAGGUAGCCCACAUUGAUAAAUUACACUAUUAUAUGUGGACAGUUACCAGGGACACCCCAAUUAAUUCCUCUUCAACAUACUUAACGACACUGACUCAAAUUUUAGAUGAUUGGUUAAAAACUAAGAAAAAAUUAGGUUUUAACAACCUUAUAUCAAAGACUUGUAAACUCGACAUUUUACAAACUAUCAUAAAAGAUCUCUCUUUAAAAAGGUGGACCAAUAUGGAUAAAUUAACGAUUGGUGACAUCAUGCAGGGAGAAAAUAUAGUGGUUAAAAAGACUUUAUUAAAAAAAAAUUUAUUACGUCUACUGCCCCAUUUGCUAAAAAGUUGGAAUUUAUUUUUAAUUACCGUACCAUUAAUAAGGUCACAUCCGCUGCUACCUCUCUCUUGCAAUGUUUUAAAGCGCCCCCCCCAUAGACUAAUCAGGACUUGGGAACACGACUUGGAACUUGAGAUUUCACUAGAGAAUUGGCAUUCUUCUUUAACGCAGUUAAACAAAUAUAUACAUUGUUUAAGCUUGACUGAAUGCCACUUCAAGGUUCUUCAUAGAUGGUAUUACACUCUGACCAGAUUAGCCAAAAUGUAUGUUUCCCAUGACCAUACCUGCUGGAGAUGUAGCAGCCACCUGGGUACAUAUAUCCAUAUCUGGUGGUCCUGCCCUGUUGUCAGACCGCUAUGGACAUGGGCAUUCAAUAUUUUUACCACUAUGACGGCUAAUAAAAUUCGCGAAAACGCUGUCUCUGCUCUUUUACACCUUAAUUGGAACCUUAAAUUACUUAAAAAUAUUUGCUUUGCCACCCAUUGUCUAGUCGCUGUUAAAUGUAUUAUUGUGCGACAUUGGAAAUCAACUAACCUGUUCCAAAAAUGUUUCAGAUCACGAUGGAAUAUGAACUUAUUAAUAACACGACGAUUUCGUCAACAACAAAAAAAAAGACUGGUACUGUGACUGGGUAAACAAAUAUCAGCGUGUAUAUGGCCAGUCUUUACUUUAGACAGAUUCCUCUUAAAGACUCAACAUAAUUCUUAGUGACUAAAAUAUAAAACAAAGCUGAUGUCCAUAGAAACUUUAUAUGACCCAUAGUUAAUAAACAGAAGGUGUGAUGGGAUGUGUUAACAUGGACAUAAAGACACCAAAAAUGUGGCUGUAAUAUUCAUUAUUAAUUUUUUUUUUUUUACUUCUUAAACAUAUUCUCCUGAUCCGAAAGGGUGUUGGGCUUUUACUUUUCUACGCAUGCUUGUUUAUUUAUGUACUUGUUUGUCAUCUUUUAUUUUUGUCUUUCUGGGCUUAUGUCUAAAUCAAUACGAUAUAUUGAUGUAACAUGUUUUUUAUGAUAUGUAAUUAUUUAUAUGUUUCUUCAUAUGACUCGAACUUCUGCAUAAGCUACAGAUAAAUUGUUGUAUAUGAAAAUGUUGUUUCAAUAAAAAUCUAUUAUAAUAAAAAAAAAAUUCUUUGUGCAGACACCCCCCCUUUUUGGGCAUGUUUGUCCCUUGUUUGGUUACGUGAUUCACAUCAGUGGCCCACCCUUUUACUCGACCACCAAAAUCCUACUUCACCGAACACUGCUGUUUGGGGGUAUGGAUAUAAUUGAAAGAUGAAAGCGAGAGAUUAGCAUAGGGUUUGUGUUUUCUGAUAGUUAUAUCUUGUGAGUUUCCCUCCAGCACCACCUCCACCAGAUACAUGAUGCUUGGGAGGUGUGACUGUUUUAGUGUUUUCUGUCGAUAAGAUUCUGUAAUUAGGCCCAUCAUAAUUGUCAGCACCAGGCCCAAUGCUGUCUCUGUUGCUGAAGCAGGAAGAGCUUUCAGUGGCUGUCUUUGAAACAGCAGGAUUAAACCUACAGGACCACAGUACCCAUGGUGACUUUAGUGGUACUUUAAUUUCAAUGAAAUAUUUUGAAUAGGACAGCCUGGUAUAAAAUGUAAAUUGAAAAAUGGAAAAGGCUCACAUUAACAUUUAAACUAAACUUCCCAAAUAAAAAAUAAAAUAAAAAAAUCUUAAUUUAGCAGUAAAAACAUGCAUGCAUCUAUUAUUAUUAUUAUUAUUACUACUAUCGCGAUUUAUAUAGCGCCAACAGAUUCCGUAGCGCUUUAGAAUAAUAAACCGCUCAGGGGAGGCUUGACUGCCAUGCUGAAUGGUUGUGUCCGAGAGGACCGUUGUUUAUUUGCCUAAAAGAACCUUCUUUCAUCAAGUCACGGGCAGGAACAACACCCCUUGCUUACGGUGCCUAGAGUGUAUAAGAUAUCCCUCACUAACAAGGCCUAACAAUAAUAAAACGAGCGUCUGGGGUUGCUGUAUCUCUUGUGCAGAGAGAGACAGCCUAUAUUUUGGUUCAGGACCACCCUUUUGAGUGGAAUCAAUCUGAUAUGCAAGGGGCCCUGGUUCUUUUUGUAAUGGCACAAGAUAAACUAAAACCAGCUCAUCUGUAACUCUGUGGUGCAACUUGGGUAUGAUGCAACAAAAAUGCUGCUGGUGCCAUCCUCUGACGAUUUUCCAAUCAAUCGGCCAAUCACCUCUCAGAAAGGUCUGGUGUGUCUGCAGUAUUACCAUAUGUGGGUAAAUGUUCUCUUCCACACAGCGCCAGCACAGUUCCGGUACAAUUGGAUCUUGCCUAUGAAGGGCCGUUGGGGUCAGGUACCACCUCAUAAAGUUUUUGUAUGAGUUUUCCUGCAUGCAAGCAGACAUUUGAGUUUUCUGCAUUUGAACAAGCAUCUUGUCCUAUUUUUACUUCAUAAAUAACUUCUACUCCAUAAUACGGGGUAAAGGAAGUCCUCUUAUCAUCCCAAUGGGGCCUUGUUCGCCAGCCAUGAAAUUGGGAUUUUCUUUUAAUGGAAGCAGUGGGCUCGGUUUUGUGAUCAGAUAAUAUUUGGAGUCAAAACUAUGUCACAGGGAUAAAAGGGGCUCCAUUCUUAGAACAAAUAACAAUGGUGACAGUGGGCACCCCUGUCUGGUCCUAUGUGUUAACGGGAAGCAAUCAGAUAUAAAACCUAUCAUAACUUCUAUAUUUCUAUUGAUAUAUGGAUUUUUUCUAAAAUUUUUUAAAAAGGACACACUCUUUGCAAAUAACCAGCAUGCUGAAGUGCAUUAGGUAUGUGGAGUGUUUCAUUGAAGUUUCCUGAUGAAAUAACUGUCACUAAAUUACCUGUGAUUGAACAGAUUACAGGAAAUGUAGGUUUGGGAGAGACAGCGCAGGCCUCAACUUGCAGAGAUACACAUUUGAUUUUUCAUUUGAGAUUUAUGUCCUCAUGUUCACUUAAUAAAGAGAUUUGUUUUCAAGAGAGUUAGAUAUUUAUAUAUUUCCAGUUAUGAUUUUUUUCUUUUCUCUUUCUUCUUUUUAUCUUUUCAUUUUGUUUUCUUUACAGAUUGUAUAUGAUUCUUUAAGAGAAUAUUUACUUUUGCAUGUUAGGGAAAUAUUCAAAAAUAUUUCAGAUUUUAUUAAAACUCCACCACAAUUGCAGGAUAUAAAUGAGACAAAGGAUAUCAACAUGCAUUUUAUUUUCCUGAAAGAUCUUGUUUUUUGUGCAUAAAUAUAUUUCACUGUAUGCACAUAACAUCCUCUUCAAAACGUUUUUACUUAUAUUUUAUUAUUGUUUUUCAUAUUGUUACUAGUUUUUUAUUUUGUUUGUUUUUGCUAUUUUUUCAUUGCAAAACAUGAUUAGUUAACAAGUCCAAUUUAAUUACUUUUUAUUUGUGAUAAGGUUGGUUUAAAACAUUGUUGCGGUUUUGAAGUGAAAUACCAGAAAAAGCAAAUAAAUUGCAAAGCUCAUCAAACCUGGAAAAGCAGUGGAAAAUUGAGAUAUAUAAGAAAUACAGAUAAAAUCAAGUGAAUGCCAUUGUAGUACAGAAAGACUUACAUCUAACAUAUAAUAUACUGUAAGUUAUUUAAAGUGGCAAAACUAUUGACUUUACUUCCAUUCUUUUCUUAUCUUGCUUGAAUUUUUACUUCCCUCAUCCUCUCUCACAAGAGAUCUUCUCUGCCCAUACAGCUUAUUCACUCCUUGACCGCUGACCCAUAUAUUCAUCCUAUAUCCUUCCCCACAGUUGCCCCCCAAAUAAAACACAGGAAACCUUCUAGAAUUGAUAAGGGCAACGGCCACAGCUUUAUUAAACAUUCCAAUUUUUUAACACCAUAAUGCUGUCAGCUGCUGGGCAUUUGCCCAACAGACAGUUCUCCAAUCUUUUCCCAAGAGCCUCAACAGCCGGCACUUGCCAUCAGCUCCCGUGCAGGCUGCUGUCUCCCCAAAGCAUCUCUUCAUCUUGUUCCUUUUCAUCUGCGCUGUCCAGGAAUCCCACCACCGCAAUACCGCCCUGGAGCGCUCUAUGCUGCACCGGCACCCCACCUUACAGACAGUACAGCCUCAGCCUGAUAGCAACCCUAGAUUGAAAAUGUCCAAGCCUAUGGGGGACAGGAGAACAAUAUCCCUCCUCAUAAUGUUAAAAUUCUCCCCUUCCAACUCAAAGUGCCGCACCAAUAUCCCACCCGUGCGGCGCACAAAUCUGGAAAUAGUAAGGUUGACCUUCUUGCGGAAACGCUCUAGUGCUUUCCCGUAUGCGCCAGCCCUCCACACUGGACGAGGAACAAUCUCAGACCAGAUAAGAGUCAACUCUUGAAACAGUGCGAAACACCGCGCCAUGUCCUGCUUCAUGGCAUGGAUGAGCUCAACCAACCUUUGUUGGUCGACAUCAUUCCAACCAGCAUGCUAAACUAGAGUAACAUGACCUGACACACAUCGACAUCAUUCCCACCAUUGAAAUUGCAAACAUACUAUAGUUAUCAGCCAUUGUAUUACCUUUUUAUCUUCAUCAAUUGUUUUUACUUAUUUUCCAGUAAUAUUCAUUAACAAGCAGCUUCCUGCUCUCCAUCUGAAGUAGUGGAAGCAGGGAGCAGUGCCCAGCAGAUGCCAGGUAAGUUUUUAAACCAUACUAAAACAGAAUGACUACUUACAGUUGGGUGAGCCAGGGCACUCCUGGCACUAAAUACUACAGUGUGCUGUAGUGAUUAUGGUGCUCUGUGUGUUCCUUUAAUCCUGAUUCUCAAAAUAUUUACUGGCUUCCUCUAGUUAAACAGGCUUUUUACAUUUUUAUUUUAUUAAAUCCUCACUGUUAUCAUUAACUUUGUUACACAUUUAUUGACUUUAAUUGCCCUGCAAGCACACCAUCAUUGUAAUAUGUUCUAUAUUGCAAAGCUUAUUAUUACUUUGCUGGAAAUAUAAAAUUCUUACAGCAGCUAAAAAAAUAAAAUAUCCUAUUAUUCAUGUCACGUCUAAAUAGGAAUGUUUAAUCACUUAUUGCUGGAAAAAUAUUAGGUUAGGCACGAUUGUUGUCAAGUGUAGUGUACAGAUUCCUGCAUUGGGUGUGAGGGCUGGAUAGAGGUACAGCCCUUGGGAAACCUUCUGACUGCCCAAUGACUCACAGCACCACCCCAUGUUGUAACCAAGGACUCCCAUGGGUCACUGGUUAAUCAUGAAAUGUCUCAACAUGCUUUUCAUAUGUGAUAACAUCUUGCCUGAAGCUGGCAUGCUUUUAUCAUUAAAUUGUCCGCCUUACAAAUUUUCAUUCAAUCUAUUACACGGUACAGGAUAGACUUCACCUAUUAUGUUACAUUUCCCCUAUAUUUAACAAAUAUGUUUGAGAUCUGAAAAAUAGAAUUAAAGCGGGACUGUCACACACACACUUCCCCCCUGAAAAAUCUGUAUUUUUAUAAAAAUAGAAUACUUAUAAAAUAGUAAUUUCGACAGUUUCAAUCUCGACAAUCGUCACUAGUGAUGGCUGCAGGGAAUUGGCUCGAUCUAUGGAGCACCUUCAAAAUUCUCCAUAGACUUCAAUGCUGUAGUCUCGCUGAAGUGCCAGGACCUGAAGGGGACCCACUGGAACAAGAUGACCUUGCCUGUGAGGGACAGGUUCAGGUAAGUAAAUCUCACCUUUACCUGCCUUGUUGGCUGCCGGUUACCCAGCGGCAAUUUCACCAUCAGGGUUUUUUUUUAUUUGAUAAGGUCCCCAGAUGGUGAGAGUGGCACUUUACCUGAUUAAAAAAUCCAAACCCCUAUUCUGAAACUGAGCUCUCUGUCAGUCAUUAUUAUAAGCUCUACUGUGUCUUAGUUUCUCCAAAUACUAACUGAAUGUGUACCCUGGUUGUGCCAGGCCUGACCUGGAAUGCAAUGUCAUUUGCUAAAUAUGUAAAAGAAAACAAAGCAUCUCCUAGAAAAAUGUUAAUACAAGUUGUAGGUGAUUUCAAGGUUUUAUUCAAUUGUGUAAUUUCUAGAAAAAAAAGUCUGCUUUUAAACUUGUGACACAAAUUCUUGUGGUUUAUGGAAAAAUUUCUAGAAGAAAUCAAGAAAACCACAUUUCACAUUUGUGAGCCUUGACUGGGGUUGCCAAACGGAAGGAUAGCUGAAUGAAUAGGCAACCCCGUAGCAGCCAUCCAGUGGAAAGCUUAUAAGGUCAGGCAACCUUCAGCACUCCAGAUGUUGUGGACUACUGUACAUCUCCCAUAAUGCUCUACCAGCCAUAAUGCUUGUAAAGCAUCAUGGAGGGUGUAGUCAAAAACAUCUGGAGUGCCGAAGGUUGCCUUUCAUGGAUUGGUAGAUCUGUCACACCGCAGGAGUGAUGUUAUAGGUCAAGCCAGUUUUGAGGUAGCCCCACAAGUAAUAAUUUGUUAUUUUGAUUAUGAAGUUGUGUGCAGUACUUGGUACAACAGACUAGCUUGGCACUUAUAACUCUCCUUCAUGGUGAAUUAAUUAUCCAUUGACAUGUUUGCAAUGGUUUGCCCUCUUAGCUAGGCCCAACUGUGCAUCCAGGGUACUCUGUGCAUCUGUGUAUCUGGCUUCUGCAGAGCUGAAGAAUUCCAAUUCCACUCCUGCUGGCUAUUCAUUGAUUGAGAUCAUCAGCUUUCAACUCUCAUUAAUAGAAAUAUGAACAAAAUGGACAUUAGGCAGCCCAGAACUCUUGUCCCAGGACUGGCUAAUGACACCGAAGGUGCCAGCACACCAGUACAUAGGUUAAACUCUACAUGCGCGUUUCAUAGCACUAUGUUGCACUGUGAUAAAGUGAAGGCAGAUAGGCCUAUAACAUUUAACCCCAGGGGGAGUAUGUGUAGUAUGUGUUGUAGGCAACACAAACCAAAGUUUAGUUAUGGGCUCUGGGGUGGAGCAUUUGGAGAGCAGGGUGGGCCAAUGCUCCACUCCUCAGUUUUUACACAACUGGGAGAAAAAAGGUCCAGGCCAGAGUUUUUUGGAACUGUCUCCAACCUACUGCUCAGCUGCAGAUAAUCACCUGUAGCAGUGGGAAUAAACCCAUCCCUGCUAGGCAGGUAAAGGGCGGAUUGUUGGCUUCCUCCCUGGAAGCAGGUAGGAGAGAGGCUGUUCUCUCUAGUGAGAGAGUCAAGGAGACUGAGCACUGGGAGUGCAAAAGGAAAGCAGUCAAGGCUGGCUUGGAGCACUGGGAGUGCAGAAAGGAAAGCAGUCAAGGCUGGCUUGGAGCACUGGGAGUGCAGAAAGGAAAGCAGUUAAGGCUGGCUUGGAGCACUGGGAGUGUAGAACGGAAAGCAACAGGCUGACUAAGCACUGGAGUGCAGAGAGCUGACAAAGACACUAGGUUGGUGAAACAAAUAUUGUUUUGUUCUAGUUUAACCCCUGAGAGAUAGGGAAGCUGAUGUUAGUAAGUGCUCAGACAAGCUAGGUUUUUGUUUAUAGGGAUUUGUGUUGUAUUUAUGUUUUCAUUUGCUGCUGUCUCUGGUGGAGUUUAACAAUAAAGUGCCUGGAAUUAAGUGCCUUAAAAGACUGUGCAUGUUUGUGCCCAAGAGGACCAUGCUACCUGCAGACAAGGAUCACAGCACAUACAGACUCCAGGCACCAUGAUCACUUCAAAUCACUGAAGUGGUCAUGCUACUUGGAAUAACCUUUUAAAACACAAGUACACAUAUACAUUGCACAUGUCUUGUUUAAUUUAUUAAUAGACUAAAUAAUUCCAGAGAAAUCUGGGCUCAAGAUGUUAAAGCACUGAAACAAUUAUUUUCGGUAAUUUUUGAUGACUGGAAAAAUACAUGAUAUAAGCUGACAAUGUCAGACAUGUCUCUUCUCUGGAACCAGCUCAAACUAAUGGUUCUCUUUCAGAGGCAGUUUGUGGCUGCUAUUGGAAGAAAGUCUGAUCUAGAGUAUGGCUGCUCUGCUCCACCAAUCCUGCUUUAUUUAACUCUGGGGGUGUAGCCACAAAUCUUCUACCCUCCACAACAAGAGAGCUGAGAUCUCGGCUUGACCCGCUUCAGUCUGGAUUCUGCGCUUGUCACUCUGUUGAAACAGCUAUGACCAAAGUGUCCAAUGAUUUAAUUGCUGCUAAAUCUCGUGGCCAUUAUGCUAUCCUAAAUCUCCUUGAUCUUUCUGCUGCCUUUGACACUGUUGAUCAUCAACAGCUUCUUCUCAUUCUCCGUAAUCUUGGUCUACGGGAGACUGCUCUCUCCUGGUGCUCCUCCUACCUCUCCCGGCGCUUUUUCAGUGUUUCUUUCUCUGACUCUACCUCUUCUCCUCAACCCCUCUCUGUUGGCGUUCCCCAAGGUUCUGUCCUUGGUCCCCUACUGUUCUCUAUCUUUACUGCCUCCCUUGGUAAACUCAUCAGCUCUUUUGGCUUUGAUUAUUAUUUUAAUGCAGAUGUCAUGCAAAUCUACCUGUCCUCUCCUAAAAUAUUUCUCCACCCAUCUUGACUCGUGUCUCUGACUGCCUCUCUGCAAUUUCCAACUGGAUGGCUUCUCACUGCCUUAAACUAAACCUGUCCAAAACAGAACUUCUGAUCUUUCCUCCCUCAACUGUUGCUACUCCCGUGUCUGUCUCCAUCCAAGUCAAUAGUGCCACAAUCCCCUCUACCCUGCAGGCUCGCUGCCUAGGUGUUUUUUUUUUACUCCGAACUCUCCUUCACCCCUCAUGUCCAGUCGAUUGCCAAAUCGUGCCGCUUCCAUCUCAGAAACAUGGCUCGCAUCCGCCCUUAUUUAACACCAGACGCAGCUAAGGUGCUGGUCCAUGCCGUUGUUCUUUCUCGCCCACACCUCCCAUGCCUCCCCCUCUGUCAGUCUCUACAUUGGCUUCCAGUUAGAUAUAGGGCUCACUUUAAGAUUCUGGUGCUUACUUACAAGUCCCUACAUAAUGCUGCUCCAACCUACCUAUCCUCCCUAAUACAGAAAUAUGUCCCGUCGAGGCCCCUGCGCUCUGCCGAAGAUCUACGUCUAUCCUCUGUCCGUACUCCCACAUCCGAUGCUCGCCUCCAAGACUUCUCCAGGGCUGCACCUUCUCUGUGGAACUCCCUUCCCUUCUCCAUUAGACUUUCACCCAGUCUCCACUCCUUCAAAGAAAAAUUGAAAACACACUUCUUCAGGUAAUCAUUUCAUUUAAACUGUUAGCAGGUUUUCAUCCCUCUCCCCCUCCCCCUCCCCCCACUGAGUUAUUUCUCAGUGAUUACUUUUCUAGCAACCUAUUUCAUUACCCCUACUUAUACCCUUUGUGUCACUGUACCCCACUCCCUCUAGCAUGUAAGCUCAUUGAGCAGGGCCCUCGACCCCUCUGUUCCUGUGCGUCCAUUUGUCUGGUUACAAUUUUGUGUCUGUUAGUCCACCCAUUGUACAGCACUAUGGAAUUUGCUAGCGCUAUAUAAAUAAUAUAAUAAUAAUAAAGUAUCAUCAAAUGGAGACAAUGAAGUCUUCGUAGACGCUACAUGUGUUAGGAAUGUAAUGUUUAAUUGUUUAGAAUCUCUCUCUACAAGAACCUUCAUUUCCCCCAAAAAAUUUAAAAAACCUCAAUCAACAAAAUCAACUAUUUUCUUUUUAUUGUUAUGAUAAUUAAACUAUUUAGUUCACAUAUAUACCACGUCGAUUUAUACUACGCAGUUGAUCACCCUUCCUGCAGGUGGCAUUAUACAUUUCUGCUUGGAUCCUGUUCAGGGAACUAUUUUAUCUGAUUUAUUAUUUACCGGACUGUUUUUUUUAAUGUUAUGAAAUAUAUAUUUUUAAAGAAAUAUAUACAGUUUAUUUUAUUGGUGAGUGAGAGCAGAAUAUUCUGUGCCUAUGAGUAUACGUUCAUUUCAACAAUCAGUCUGCAUGGCUGAGUUUGACGGCCCAGAGUUUGAAUUUAUGACACUAUAAGCCAAUGGAUAUACCUGGUAUUCAAAUGAAUAUGAUCCUGUCUAUCUACUAUGUCCAUGCUGAUGUCAUAUUAUUUAUAAAUGAUCUGCCUAACGUCUGCAACUCCUCAACUGUACACAUGUAUGCAGACGACACUGUAAUCUAUGCUAGUAAACCCAAGCUACAGUUUGAGGCUGUGCUCCAAAACCAAUUGACCGAGGUAGAAAAGUGGAUAGCGGAUAACAAACUCUUCCUAAACACUGACAAAACCGUUACAGUGAUCUUUGGAACUGUACCUGAAUUACGUAAACUACAAAAUCAACAACUAUGUAUCAGAAAAAAUUCAAAUAGCACACUGACAGCAGUCUGCUCUUUUAAAUAGCUAGGCAUGUUGCUAGACCCCAAUCUAUCCUUUGGCCUUCACAUUGAAAAAAUCUCUUCAAAACUUUACCCCAAACUAGGUGCCCUGUACAGAAACAAAUUCUGCCUAAGCCCUACAGUAAGGAAACAGAUGCAACAAAUGCUAAUGCCGGUCAUUGAUUAUGGGGAUGUAGUGUAUGCACCCGCACCGCAAACCCACCUUAAUAAACUUAAAUUAUAUAAUUAAUUCUGUCGCUUUGUACUAGAAUGUAAUUAAUUUACCCACCACUGUGACAUGUUAAAAGAGCUAAACUGGCUGUCGCUGGAAUCCCGACGCACUCUUCAUCUUUCCAGCCUUGUGCAUAAGAGCAUUUCUGGGAAGCUCCCAUCCUACCUGAGUAGAAUGCUCUCCCCAGCUGUUCCCACCUCCUAUAACCUCUGACCCAGUAGUAACGCGAUAUUUAGCAUACUGCAAUACAAAAAUAAAGUGGCUCGAUCCUCCUUUUCCUACAGAGCACAGCAAUUAUGGAAUAACCUCAGGGACACAGUCAAAUCUUCAUUCAAUCUAAAAUCUUUUAAGAGAUCUAUGGCAAUAUACCUCAGCACAGAAUACACCUGUCAUGGUUAAAUAUAUUUAUUACCUGUUAUGUAUUCCAUUUAUAUAUUAGUGUGUGUGUGUAGAGAUAUAUAUAUAUAUAUAGUUUGUAUAUUGUAUUGUAAUAUUGUACCCUAUUGUAUCAAUGCAAUGUUUUGUGAACCCAUGACAUACUUGAAAACGAGAGAAAUCUCAAUGUAUCCAUCCUGGUAAAAUAUUUUAUAAAUAAAUAAAUCUCUGUUCGGUUGGCACAAAGCAUGUAUCUCUGAAAAACUAUUUAGCCAGCAGCCCAGCAGGAAUAUUGCAGUCACGGAGAAACCUCUUCAGGAAAUGCAAAUUUCAUUGUUUGUUUUUUUUACCAGUGGUUAUGCCUCAUUCAUGUAUUUAGUUUUACAUGAAAUGUAGAUUUCUCUAAAUUAUUGCCUUAGAAUAUUUUUUCUCAACGCUCUCUGGGUCCCUCUAGUGGUGACAUUCAGUUAUAUGACAGUAGAGCUAAAUAAUCAUUAAAGUAUGAAAGACCUGUUUUGAGUUCGUAUUUCAUCCCAAGUUUAAUCAGACUAAUAAAAUUUAAAUUAUCAAAGCGUGUAAAUACUAAAUGUGUGUGUCUCUUAUCUAUAUAAAAAUAGUGGGAACAUUUUAACAGAUAAAGUAUGAUGAAAAUAUGACCAAUGUUAUACAUGAGUGAACCCAUGGCUGUAAUAAUCUAACUUAAAAUAUAAAAAUAGCAGAGCCAACUGUCAUAGAUUUUCGCUAAAGUGAGAAUUCAAUGUGAAUUUCAAAUUUAAGGUAAAAAUAGCCAAAAUGGAAACAUUCUCAAAGUCACUCCUGCUUUCAGACCCUGCAGACAUUUUCAUGUAAACACUGGAGGUGCUUCCUGGGGCAGUGCUGCACAGUGCUCUGCAUGGAGAUGCUAAAGUUUCCUCAUAGAGUUGCUUUAAGCGUUGCAUGGAGAUGCUGAUUGGCCAAGCCAGCGUUUGGCCCUCCCCUUAUACUGUGUCCUUGCUGAUUUCAGCCAAGCCAAUGCUUUCCCUAUUGGCUAAAAUAAACAAUUCUGAUGAUGUCAGCAAUGAGGCAAAUGUGUGGACCCACGUGGCACUGGAAAUAAUGUAAGCCACAUAAAUGGUGGUUUUACCACUAUAGGGUCAGGAAUAUAUGUUUGUGUUCCUGACCCUACAGUGUUCCUUUAAAAAAAAAAAAAAAAAAACAACUGUGAGAAAACUUGUUUUUCUGCAGAGAGUAUAAGGGGCUGUUUAAGCACCAAAAUUACUUCAUGCAUCAUUUGACAAUUAUUUAUUUUAAACCAGCAAGCAAACACCUUUAAACAAAUAUACAAAACAAAACAAAUGUAAGAAAAACUUUGAAAAGUAUGUAAUAAAUGUUUAUAAACUUAGUAUAAACGUGGUCAGAUUGAAUUGUUAGAAAUGCCUCUCAGCUAGGAUAGUUUCUUCAGCCUCCCCUCGCCUCCCUUUUACAAACCCUGCUCAGUUUCAGAUCACUCCACUAAUGACAGAAACAGGGCAGCAAGAGAGAGAAAUCCAAAAACAUAGCCUGCUCUGCACAAUCACACUGAUCAGACUACAUCUUUUCACCUCUGUCAGAUGUUGAAGUGAAGAGAUCCUCCAACUGAACAUGUGUAUAUCUGUCAAGUAUGCCCAAUGCACUUUUCCAGCAUUCCUAUGGAUAGAACACUGAUUGGUUAGAUCGGUGUGUCCCCUGGAGUGGGUGUGGAAAAUAUAAGAAAGAAGAAGGUAAAUAUGAGUAAAUUAUAUUUACCUGCUAAAGCUUUUCAAUGAGACUAUGGUCUCAAAAUGAUGCAUUAGACAUGUGCAAUUCGUUUCGUUCCGAAUGUCAAUUCGGACAAUUCAGACAUUCGGAUACUUCUGAAUGUCCAAAUAGCUGAAUUGCCGAAGUUCAGAAAUUGCCGAAUUGUAGAAGUGCCGAUGUUCCUAUGCACAGUAUUGCCGAAGUACUAAUAUACCUACCCAGUGGAAGAAUGAAGAAUGCUACACUGUAUACAAGUUUAAAUAAAAAGUAUACAACAAUCAAGUAACACACAUUCAUAUAAAAUGUAAGUUACUUAGCCAGUCAGUAUAAUGACAGGAAUGAAUAAGUAGAUAACUCCCUAAUUCACAUGAUAUUAGGGAGCUAUCUACUAAAAGGCUGAAAGAUCUAAAUUGGUCUUUCAGCCAAAUUUACUAAUACUAAGUAAAGAUUACUUAGUAUUAGUAAAUUAUGCCCCUACUCGCUAUACCGCGGGGCAUGUCUAGUAAACAGUGACUCAUUUGACUCAGGAAUGUGGUCCGGGGGGAGGGAGGGCAAUAGGUCCCCCCUUAUUCUAACUUAGGCUGAAUUUCGGAAUGCCGAGCCGAACCGAAACGAAAAUUUUCCCCAUGCACAUCCCUAUGAUGCAUGUCUCUAUCAUGUAGCAGUUUUGGUGUAUAGAAAAUGCCUCUGCAGUCUCACUGCUCAAGCAUUAGGAGUUAAAUGCAAAUGUUAGUUGCACUAGUCUCAAACAGUGCAGGACUUGUAUAUAUCAGCGCUGUGUUAGAUUAGGAGCCCCCACAAUGCAUGGUGCCUUUCAAACUGUGCAUUACAGAGAACCAAGAUAAAGUGCUUAAUGAAUGUAUCCAGAACCCCAACAUGGCAUCAUGUCCCCAAAAUACAUGUUUCAGCUUUAUGUGUGUGUUAUAUUACACGACUUUUUAAAAUAUUAGGUUAGUGUUUCAAAGAUCAUAGUGUAGCAAAAAAUGCUGUACAGGGAUUGUAAUGAACUAUUUGCUCUUUCAAAUAAUGCAUUUUGUCAUAAUAUGGUUUUAGGAAAUUAUUGUUUAGGUGAACAUUAAUUCUUUUUCAAUUAUUCUUGCUCCAAUAUUCAACUGGAAAUGAAGUGCUCAAAUAAGCCAGAAGCUACAUUAUUAGUAAUGACUGUCUUUGUUGGUGUCAAGUAGUAAUUUAUUCAGCCUUUUUAAGUCAAGUGUAUAAUACAGAACUGCAGAAUAUAGAUCAUAGUUUUUCUCCCUUUGCUUCUGGCACAAUACUUAAAGGGACAAUCCACUGCUGAAAUAAAAAUUUAAAAACUCUGUUUCGUAGAUAAAUCCCCAUUGAAAACAUGCAUGCAUUUAUCUAUUAUGUUUUUUUUUUCCCAUUGGGGUACAUCUAAAACAACUUGCAAAAUCUGCAGAUCUCUUGUCCGCAGCCUUAGCAAGCCCUCCCCUUCGAACCCUGUCCAGACUUUCUGUGUCUGUCCAAUCACAGACUUCCCAAUGCAGCUCAAUGCAAAAUCUUUGCUAAGCAGGUGCUGUAGGCAAUUGUUUCCCUGAAAAUAAGACAUCCCCUGAAAAUAAGCCCUAGUCGCCAAUCACCAGUUCGCUAAUCUACGUUAGCAGAUUUUUCCCCAAACGUAGUUUCGCGGGAUUUAAUCACGAGUAAGCAAAUCUAUGUUCGGGAAAGUUUUCCUGAAUAUAGAUUUGCGGGAUUCCAAGCACUAUUAAACUGGUCUAUGUUCCGGGGAACAAACGUAGACCUGCUUUCAAGCGAAUGCUUGAAACCGCUUUCCCCCUAAAUAAGACAUCCGCUGAAAAUAAGCCCUAGUGUGUUUUUCAGGGGAAAAAUUAAUAUAAGACCCAGUCUUAUUUUCAGGGAAUAUAAGUAGCUCCACUGAGCUAACAGGCCAGGAAUAACAGGACGUGUAGUCUGAUUGACAGCCAAGCGGUGUAACAAGGUUAAAGGUACACUAUAGUGUCAGGAAAACCGCUUGGUUUUCCUGACACUAUAGUAUCCUGAGGGUGCCCCCACCAUCAGGGUCCCCCUCCCGUGGCGCUGAAGGGGUUAAAACCCCUUCAGAUACUCACCCUUUUACCCCGCCGGGCUCCCUUACCUCUCCUCCCUUUCUGACAUCGGCAUCCUUGUCUGACGCCACCUGCGUGCGCAUUCAAAGUGUCCGUAGGAAAGCAAUUUUUAAUGCUUUCCUAUGGAUGCUCUGCGUGGAUGAAUAUGCCUCAAUCAUUACCGAUGCGCCUCUAGUGGCUGUCCGGAAGACAGCCACUAGAGGCUGGCUUAACCCCAGAUGUUUACAGCAGACAGGGUUAACCCUAGAGGGACCUGACACCCAGACAACUUCAUUGAGCUGAAGUGAUCUGGGUGACUAUAGUGUCCCUAUAAGUUAUAAAAACUCAAAUUUCUAGUGAAACCUGCAAAAAGAAAAAAGUAUCCACUCUUCACACAUGCUUUAGGGGUCCAGAGUGUCCUUUAAAGGGUAACAGUCACUUCCCUGACAUUUACACCACUGAAUAAAAUAAAAUUAUCAACAACUUGUGUUAGCUUUUUCAUGAGAUGCUCUGUUUUCUUUUAAAUUUAUAUUAAAAAGUUAGCAUAUUAUAUCCUCAUCCAGUUCAGACAAGGCAUGGAAGGGGCAAACAUUGGUUAAUUUCUCCUCUGCAUGCUUUCUCUAUGACGACUGCCAGUUGCAGAGGACAGAGCUUGUAACAAUGAUUGACAGACUGGUAAGAUGGAGGUUCUCAGGUGCAGGAUAAAGAGUAGUUGAUUUUUUUACAUUUAAUUUUAUUUUUCACACCACUAUAAGGCCACUUUAAUUAUGAGGCUCCAGUGUGAAAUUUACCCUACUCUCGGCUCUCCAGACGCUUGAAUAAUUUUUUAAAGACCAUUCCUAAUUUUUAUGCACCUUUGUCAUUUUCACACUUUUCUCAGCCGACCAAACACUGAUGCCAAUCUCUGAUUUUGACUCACCUGCAUCAAUUUCUUGUCAAUUUAUUUCCUCCAUACGCAGCAUUCCCACAAUUAAUCCUAAAAUAACCUUUGCGCAUUUUAUUAAUUAUUAGUUGGUAUUUUGUUCAACACACCGCGACUACGCAAACCUGACACAAAUGUUAAGCAGAGACUUGGCCAUAUAUAGACCCCUCUAGUUUUUGUACUAGUGCCCUUUAAGUGUGUUGUUCUUCAUUUAGUAUUAUUGCUGUACUUUAGAAUUGCAAAUCACAGAUUGCUAGAGAAACUAAAAUUGAACACCAGGUGGCCACAAUGCAUAUGCUACCAGUUGAAACAUGAAUACUUCUUAAUUGAAUCAACUGGGGAAUACAACAAAGAAUGAGAGAGAAUGACUGAUCUUAAACAGUAAAUUUAAUCAUCCUCCCAAAAACUUUGUGGCCUGAAUUCAUCGCAGAGUGAUGAGGCCUAGCAUUUCAUAUCAUCUUUCUAAGUAAGAAACACUAGCUAAUCAAUCAAACGUAUUAAUUUGUAUCAGAAUAUCACAGACCCACUCUAUUAUAAAUGUCCUGCCUAAAAACCUACAGCAUGAACAUGCUGUCAUUUUCCACUUAAAGGGACACUAUAGGCACCCAGACCACUUCAUCUCAUUGAAAUGGUCUGAGUGCAGUGUCCCUGUCCCCUUCACCCUGUAGGAUUUACUCCGACUCUAGUGGCUGUCUACCAGACUUAAGGUCCGCUAAAUGACGCUGGACGUCUUUACGCUUGGCAUGCAGACAUCCAGCGUCAGCUAAAACCACAUAGGAAAGCACUGAUGCAAUGCUUUCUUAUGGGGAAGUUCUAAUACGAUCAAGGCACUCUCCACGCAUGCACAUUAGGGCCCCCCAUUGGCUGACGUCGGUGACGAGGGGCAUCGGUGCUGGAAUCAGGUAACUGAUAAAAGUUUUUUUUAACACUUUCAGUUCUGGGGUGUUGGAAGUGGGGUUGCUUAAAAGGAGGGGGGGCACUAUGGUGCCAGGAAUACAACUGUUUUACUAACAAUAUAGUUUACCUUUAAAUCCUUUUGGAAUGUAAAUCGCUUAAAGAAUAGUAAAUCCAAAAUUGUUUCUUUCCAGCACAUGAGUAUCUAACCAUGGUUUUCUUCACUAACCAUGGAAUUUAUAUUCUGAGAGACCAGAGCACUUCCUGCAAUGUCAUCGGCUUUCCAAGAGAACUGGGUCACUGUUGUUUUGCAUGCUGCUCCAGUGCACACAGAUAUAUAUGCCUGGUCGCAUGCAUGACUCGAUGUGAGAAUAGCCACGGUGUUCACGACACCUCGCAAAUGUUAUAUUUAAUAUUACUAUUAUUAUUAUUAUUACUAUUGGUAUUUAUAUAGCGCAAACUUAUUCCGCAGCUCUUUACAAUAUAAAGGGGGAAAUUUAACAAUAAAAGGGACAAUUAGAAAAUGGUAGAUAAGGACCCUGUUCAGAUGAGCUUAAAGAAUCAUUAGCAUUUUUGCUUCAUUUGAUAUUAUAUAUUCCCAGUUUUGGUGCAGGUUCCGUAAGAUGUGUGAAUACAAGGGCAAUGUGCAUUGUAGAAACAAGGCUGUACUGGCAAAACUGGAUGACUGAUUUAUGUCUGAUUAUGACUCCUGCAUUUACUGCUGUUGUAACUGUUGGUAGUCAGCACUACGGACAGGGGUUAGGCUUUGAAGGGUUAUUCUCACUAAAAAGGGUUACAGCUGUCCCAUCCCCCCAAAAAACAAAUCCUACAAUCUCAGCAACAUUAAACGUUAUCUGCUAAGCUUUUAAUAGACCAAUGAUCAAUGAACUGCAUUUUUCAUAUAUUCAUGAAUAACGGUAGACUUUUAGAGGCAGACAACAAUUAUCUCUCUCUCUCUAAACAAGGUGUCACGUAUUCAUCUGCUUAUAAAAAUGUGGUUAACAGAGGGGAUAUGAUAGAAACAUUUAAAUAUAUAAAGGGAAUCAACACAGUAAAGGAGGAGACUAUAUUUAAAAGAAGAAAAACUACCACAACAAGAGGACAUAGUCUUAAAUUAGAGGGACAAAGGUUUAAAAAUAAUAUCAGGAAGUAUUACUUUACUGAGAGGGUAGUGGAUGCAUGGAAUAGCCUUCCAGCUGAAGUGGUAGAGGUUAACACAGUAAAAGGAGUUUAAGCAUGCGUGGGAUAGGCAUAAGGCUAUCCUAACUAUAAGAUAAGGCUAGGGACUAAUGAAAGUAUUUAGAAAAUUGGGCAGACUAGAUGGGCCAAAUGGUUCUUAUCUGCCGUCACAUUCUAUGUUUCUAUGUUUCUAUGUCUGCGGCGAACCGUUCGGGACAUCACUACUCCUAAACACUGCUUACACUGUGACCGUAUCUCCUAAACAUUGCUCAUUCUGUGACCGUAUCUCCUAAACACUGCUUACACUGUGACCGUAUCUCCUAUAGACUGCUUACACUGUGACCCUAUCGCCUAAACACUGCUUACACUGUGACCCUAUUUCCUAAACACUGCUUACACUGUGACCGUAUCUCCUAAACACUGCUUACACUGUGACCGUGUCACCUAAACACUGCUUACACUGUGACCAUAUCUCCUAAACACUGCUCAUACUGUGACCGUACCUCCUAAACACUGCUUACACUGUGACCAUAUCUCCUAAACACUGCUCAUACUGUGACCGUACCUCCUAAACACUGCUUACACUGUGACCCUAUCGCCUAAACACUGCUUACACUGUGACCGUAUCUCCUAAACCUUGCUUACACUGUGACCGUAUCUUCUAAACACUGCUUACACUGUGACCCUAUCGCCUAAACACUGCUUACACUGUGACCCUAUUGCCUAUACACUGCUUAUACUGUGAAUGUUAUUUUUUCAAGUUAGUUUUAUUGUUUGCGGUUUCAUUGAUUUGUUAACCACUGUCCUCAAUCUUCUGUUCUGUGUUUUCUUACAUUUGUGGGAAGAACAAGGUGAUCCUCUCAAUUUUACAGUCCUUUACUGAUGGUUCCAGUGCCAGAGACAAAUGCUCCUCCAUUAACCUCGACCUGCUCAAACAGAAGAGAUUACCUUCUUCUAUAGAAAACUUCCAUAUGGCUGCUUCGGAACACAUGCAGCAGACAUGAC